rnacentral:lncRNA from 1 species
UUAGUAAUUUAAUUCAUGUAAAUUUGUAAAAUUUAUUCAUUGUUAUUAAUGUUUGAUAUUAUAGAUACUGAUUAAUGUUAGGAUUUCCAUAUUUUGAUAAUAUUUACGGGAGAAAAAAUUACACCAGGUAUGUAUUGAAAAACCAUUUUAGAUUCAGAGCGGAGCGAAAAAGCUCAUGGUUUUACAAAGAUGUUUAUUUUUUUUUUUCAAUAUCUGUUAACGAAUUUUCUACCAGGAUACUUCCUCCGAUUUUUAAGUAUAGCACCUUUUCUGGAAGAAAAUCGGUGUAGGGAGGUACUUUAGGAAGGUUAUUAAUUGUUUAUGUUCACAGUACUUAACAACAAUAAUUAAAGUUAGGGAUUCCAGAUUUAUGUAUUCAAAUAAGGGACAACUAUGUAGUAGGAAGGGGUAAUGGUAAGGAUAUAGCCCUCAAAACUAGUCCGUAAUUCAAAAGUAAUCUAUUCAAAACUAAAAGUUAAAGAUAUAUCUCGAAAAAUAUAACGUUGAAAUAAAACUGGCAUAAGUCAACAUAAUUUAAAAAUAUAAUUUGUCUACACUUUUACAGUGAUAUUUACUACCUAAUCUCAUGAUAACAUGCUAAUUUGAAUUAAAUAAUUUAAGAAAUGAGGAAAAUUAGUGGACACACAGUAUGGCGGAUUCAAAAUACAGGACAAAAGUGUUAUUUGGAACAUCGGGGAGCUUGUCUCCAAUAUGGGACAAUUGGUAUAAUACGGAUGUAUGGAACCCCUAAUUAAAGUAGACACUUAUAUCAUGGAAGUUAAUAAAAGCUUUGAAAAUUCUCCACUUAAUUCAAAGUAAGUAAAUGAUUUAACGUUAUUAUGAUAAUAUUAUUCAUAGAUAAUUCAUACUGAGCUCCAGUAGUUGGAUCAAUACUAAUUUUUGAAUGCUUUACUAUUCUAUGUUCAUAGCUUCUAUUUUGUAAACAAGAAUAUGUUCUACAUUUGUCUGAUAUUAUAAUAGAACCCGAUAAUAUACAUGUAUAUAUAUAUAUUUUUUUUAUAAUUGGAAUAAAAGUUUCUCUAUAGUAUUUUUUCUAGAAAAAAAAUCCUUUAUUCAAAAUUAUCUCCAAUUUUGCUACAAUACCAAAGGUCCUUCUAUUCUGCAACCAUAAUUUCAGUUUGAUGUAGGGGAAUUAACUAUAUUUAUUUGAUCACUGUCAGAAUUAGAGUCUUUUAGUAAACCAAUUUAAACUAUAUAAUUACAAGCAUGUCGAGGCCAUUACCUAACGUCAAUAAUAUAACAUCCAAUUAUCGCAGGGGACCUCGACAUACGCUAUGUACCUAUUAUUUUUUUCUUUUGCUUCUAUUAAAUUAACCUUCAGGAAUCAAGUAGUGUCCAGUGGAUCUAUAUAUAUACGGGUCCUGUUGUAGACCUAAGACAGAACGGUUACAGUUUUCAGAUUGUCGCCACCGUCUCACGUUAAGACCGAUCCACGUUCAAGCCCUUGCGGACAAACCUCUGGUCCGUUUCCUAUUUCUGUUUUUUUAAAUUAUAUGAGUUAUAAAAUAAAGUAAUUAGUUAUAUGUAUUUCUAAACUGUUUUUAAUAUCCGUCUAAAUCCUCUACCACCAGCAGGUACUGCGGCGGAGUUCUGUCAUUAAAUAAAUCAUAUGAGCCCAGAUCGUCAGCCCUGAGCUCAAUAUCUUGUACUUGUUCAUGACGCAGAUCACUUAGCAGCUUUUUUCCUCGGUUAUAUUUUCUUCCCCCUCUCAAUAAUAAUUCAUCAAUUUAUAUUAUAUUUAUUUAUAGUGUGGAUGUCGAUGAUGAAGAAAUGAUGUUUGAAAAUGUAAAUGAAUUCAGUAUUUUGGAAUUAUGUUGAGUGUCAAAAAUGACUGGUCAAAAGAAAUUAGGAUAUGAAUAAUGAAGGCUAAAAGGAUGAUAAGAUCAUUAAGAUCAAGAAAACAGAAUGUGGAGAGCAAUAUGGCCCCACAUACUAGGUGAUCCAUUUAAGUGGGUACACUAAUUAUUUCAGUAAGUAUUAAAUUUUUCUUAAAUUUUUUUCUAGAACAUUUAAGAAACAAGCUUUUACAUUUUAGUGUUGACAUUUUUGAUUUCUGUCAAUCCGCUGAUGAGAUAUAUUCUAUUUUUAAGUUUGGGUUGGAGUAGAGUAGUGGAGUAUCAUUUGUGUAGCCAUUAGGAAAUCAAA